rnacentral:rRNA from 1 species
GGGACACGUGGUAUCCUGUCUGAAUAUGGGGGGACCAUCCUCCAAGGCUAAAUACUCCUGACUGACCGAUAGUGAACCAGUACCGUGAGGGAAAGGCGAAAAGAACCCCGGCGAGGGGAGUGAAAAAGAACCUGAAACCGUGUACGUACAAGCAGUGGGAGCCUCUUAAUGGGGUGACUGCGUACCUUUUGUAUAAUGGGUCAGCGACUUAUAUUCUGUAGCAAGGUUAACCGAAUAGGGGAGCCGAAGGGAAACCGAGUCUUAACUGGGCGUUAAGUUGCAGGGUAUAGACCCGAAACCCGGUGAUCUAGCCAUGGGCAGGUUGAAGGUUGGGUAACACUAACUGGAGGACCGAACCGACUAAUGUUGAAAAAUUAGCGGAUGACUUGUGGCUGGGGGUGAAAGGCCAAUCAAACCGGGAGAUAGCUGGUUCUCCCCGAAAGCUAUUUAGGUAGCGCCUCGUGAAUUCAUCUCCGGGGGUAGAGCACUGUUUCGGCAAGGGGGUCAUCCCGACUUACCAACCCGAUGCAAACUGCGAAUACCGGAGAAUGUUAUCACGGGAGACACACGGCGGGUGCUAACGUCCGUCGUGAAGAGGGAAACAACCCAGACCGCCAGCUAAGGUCCCAAAGUCAUGGUUAAGUGGGAAACGAUGUGGGAAGGCCCAGACAGCCAGGAUGUUGGCUUAGAAGCAGCCAUCAUUUAAAGAAAGCGUAAUAGCUCACUGGUCGAGUCGGCCUGCGCGGAAGAUGUAACGGGGCUAAACCAUGCACCGAAGCUGCGGCAGCGACACUAUGUGUUGUUGGGUAGGGGAGCGUUCUGUAAGCCUGUGAAGGUGUACUGUGAGGUAUGCUGGAGGUAUCAGAAGUGCGAAUGCUGACAUAAGUAACGAUAAAGCGGGUGAAAAGCCCGCUCGCCGGAAGACCAAGGGUUCCUGUCCAACGUUAAUCGGGGCAGGGUGAGUCGACCCCUAAGGCGAGGCCGAAAGGCGUAGUCGAUGGGAAACAGGUUAAUAUUCCUGUACUUGGUGUUACUGCGAAGGGGGGACGGAGAAGGCUAUGUUGGCCGGGCGACGGUUGUCCCGGUUUAAGCGUGUAGGCUGGUUUUCCAGGCAAAUCCGGAAAAUCAAGGCUGAGGCGUGAUGACGAGGCACUACGGUGCUGAAGCGACAAAUGCCCUGCUUCCAGGAAAAGCCUCUAAGCAUCAGGUAACAUCAAAUCGUACCCCAAACCGACACAGGUGGUCAGGUAGAGAAUACCAAGGCGCUUGAGAGAACUCGGGUGAAGGAACUAGGCAAAAUGGUGCCGUAACUUCGGGAGAAGGCACGCUGAUAUGUAGGUGAAGCGACUUGCUCGUGGAGCUGAAAUCAGUCGAAGAUACCAGCUGGCUGCAACUGUUUAUUAAAAACACAGCACUGUGCAAACACGAAAGUGGACGUAUACGGUGUGACGCCUGCCCGGUGCCGGAAGGUUAAUUGAUGGGGUUAGCGGUAACGCGAAGCUCUUGAUCGAAGCCCCGGUAAACGGCGGCCGUAACUAUAACGGUCCUAAGGUAGCGAAAUUCCUUGUCGGGUAAGUUCCGACCUGCACGAAUGGCGUAAUGAUGGCCAGGCUGUCUCCACCCGAGACUCAGUGAAAUUGAACUCGCUGUGAAGAUGCAGUGUACCCGCGGCAAGACGGAAAGACCCCGUGAACCUUUACUAUAGCUUGACACUGAACAUUGAGCCUUGAUGUGUAGGAUAGGUGGGAGGCUUUGAAGUGUGGACGCCAGUCUGCAUGGAGCCGACCUUGAAAUACCACCCUUUAAUGUUUGAUGUUCUAACGUGGGCCCCUUACCGGGGUUGCGGACAGUGUCUGGUGGGUAGUUUGACUGGGGCGGUCUCCUCCUAAAGAGUAACGGAGGAGCACGAAGGUUGGCUAAUCCUGGUCGGACAUCAGGAGGUUAGUGCAAUGGCAUAAGCCAGCUUGACUGCGAGCGUGACGGCGCGAGCAGGUGCGAAAGCA